UACGUAGGGGGCAAGCGUUGUCCGGAUUUAUUGGGCGUAAAGCGCUCGCAGGUGGUUCGAUGCGUCGUGCGUGAAAGACCCCGGCUCAACUGGGGGGUGUCGUGCGAUACGGUCGGACUGGAGGCCAGUAGGGGGAUGCGGAAUUCCGGGUGGUAGUGGUGGAAUGCGUAGAGAUCCGGAGGAACACCAGCGGCGAAGGCGGCAUCCUGGACUGGUCCUGACACUCAUGAGCGAAAGCGUGGGGAGCGAGUACCGGCG
rnacentral:rRNA from 1 species